UGGCGCCGUUCUCAACGGAGUCCGGGGAGACCAUUCGUGCCACGCUCUUUCCCCGCGAUGGCAUCGGGCCAGAGAUCGCCGAGUCUGUGAAGCAGGUAUUCAAUGUUGCAGGGGUACCAAUUGAAUGGGAAGAACACUAUGUCGGUACAGAAGUUGAUCCCAGGACAGAGAGUUUUUUGACUUGGGAAAGCCUGGAGUCAGUGCGUAGAAACAAAGUUGGCUUGAAAGGACCUAUGGCUACACCUAUUGGAAAGGGCCAUCGAUCUUUGAAUCUUACAUUAAGGAAAGAACUUGGGCUCUAUGCCAAUGUCAGACCUUGCAACAGCCUCCCAGGUUACAAGACCAGAUACGAUGAUGUUAACCUUGUAACAAUUCGUGAAAAUACUGAAGGAUAAUAUAGUGGUCUUGAGCAUCAGGUUGUGAGAGGUGUUGUGGAAAGUUUGGAAAUUAUUACACGCCAAGCAAGUUUGAGAGUGGCAGAGUAUGCUUUCCAUUAUGCCAAGGCAAAUGGCCGGGAAAGAGUCUCUGCGAUCCACAAAGCCAAUAUUAUGAGGAAGACAGAUGGUCUUUUCCUCAAGUGUUGCCGCGAAGUGGCUGAAAAGUACCCUGAAAUUCAAUACGAGGAGGUCAUCAUUGACAAUUGCUGUAUGACGCUUGUGAAGAAUCCUGGUCUUUUUGACGUAUUAGUGAUGCCAAAUCUCUAUGGUGACAUGUGAUCUAUGUGCUGGUUUGAUCGGGGGCUUGGGCCUAACACCCAGUUGCAAUAUUGGUGAAGGUGGCAUUUGUCUGGCUGAAGCUGUUCAUGGUUCUGCUCCUGAUAUUGCUGGCAAGAACCUUGCGAACCCGACUGCUCUUAUGCUGAGUGCUGUCAUGUUGUUGCGCCACAUGCAAUUCAACGACAAAGCAGACCGGAUCCACAACGCCAUCCUCCAGACCAUCGCCGAGGGCAAGUACAGGACUGCUGAUCUUGGUGGAAAGGCAUCGACAUCAGAGUUUACAAACGCAGUCUGUGAUCACAUCUGAGAAACGGAUGUGAUUCUUCCUUCUGAUUGUUUUGUCAUCCUAAUAUUUUUUUGUCACAUAUGAGAGGAGCUUUAGCUUUAAGAGGUUAACUGGCAGCACCUCGAACUUAUUUGGGGUGUUUAACACGGUUUGAGACCGUCAAAUAAUUUUGUCACAUUUCUUGCGGUUCAGAAAUUCUUUCAACAUUGGAAUGGAGCCAAGAAUUGUCUGUAAUAAUCAACA